ensembl:snRNA U6 U6 spliceosomal RNA
GUACUCACUUCCGCAGCACAUCUACUAAGACUGCAACAAAUACAGAGAAGAUGAGUACGACUUCUGUGCAAGGAUGACAUGCAGAUCCAUGAAACAUUAAGAAAAAAU